rnacentral:rRNA from 1 species
GACGAACGCUGGCGGCGUGCUUAACACAUGCAAGUCGAGCGGUAAGGCCCUUUCGGGGGUACACGAGCGGCGAACGGGUGAGUAACACGUGAGUGACCUGCCCUCAGCUCUGGGAUAAGCCUGGGAAACCGGGUCUAAUACCGGAUAUGACUCCAUGACGCAUGUUGUGGGGUGGAAAGCCUUGUGCGGCUGAGGAUGGGCCCGCGGCCUAUCAGCUUGUUGGUGGGGGGAU